rnacentral:ncRNA from 1 species
GAAAGCCGUAUGCUUUGGAAGAAGCUUGUACAGUUUGGGAAGGGGUUUUUUGAGAGAAAAGAAGAGUCUACUUCAAC